ensembl:lncRNA
AUGGCUGUCGCUUUUACCCAUCCACCUGCCCUGAGUACUUGCUGGGUAACACUAUUUUUCGAACGGACUCAAGAUGAUGAAAAGAUAGCCCCUUCCAUUGAAGAUCGUGCAUUCUUGAAACUGAUGGACAAGGAAAUGUUCAUUGACAGCUCUAACAGCUGGGUGGCACCUCUUCCUUUCCGUAUUCCACGCCAACAGCUACCCAACAAUAGGGACCUGAGUAGGAAACGUCUCUUGUCACUUCAACAGACACUAAGGAAGAAGCCUCAAAUGCAGGAACAUUUCAUCACAUUCAUGCAAAGGAUUUUCGAUGCAGGUCAUGAAGAAUUAGCUCCACCUGUGAUGAAAAAUGAGGAAGUGUGGUACCUGCCUAUAUUUGGUGUCUAUCACCCUCGCAAGCCAGGACAGAUCAGAGUUGUUUUUGACUCUAGUGCUCAGUACAAAGGCCUUUCUUUGAAUCAAGUGCUUCUCUCAGGACCUGACCUGAAUAGCUCCUUGCUGGGUGUUUUGCUGCGUUUCCGUAAAGAAGCAGUUGCAUUUACUGCUGACAUUGAACAGAUGUUCCAUAGCUUUGUGGUGAGAGAAGAUCACCGCAACUUUCUCCGCUUCUUGUGGUUUGAGGACAAUGACCUCUCGAAAGAUGUCACAGAGUAUAGGAUGAAGGUCCAUGUCUUUGGGAAUAGUCCCUCUCCCGCGGUAGCAAUCUAUGGACUUCAUCGUGCAGCUCAACAUGGAGAACUUGAGUUUGGGAAAGAUGCAAGAGCCUUUGUGGAGCGUAAUUUUUAUGUGGAUGAUGGCCUGAAAUCAGUGCCCACGGCUGUGGAAGCAGUUGGUCUGUUGAAAAGAACUCAGGAGAUGCUAGCAAGUUCCAACCUGAGGCUUCAUAAAAUAGCAUCUAACAGUCCUGAUGUAAUGAAUGCCUUUCCUGUGGAGGACCAUGUGAAAUAUCUCAAGGACCUCGAUCUGGAAAAAGAUACUCUACCUAUUCAGAGGAGCCUUGGUCUGAGCUGGAAUCUUAAAACAGACACUUUCACUUUUCGUGUUGAUGCAGAAGAGAAGCCUUUUACACGUAGAGGUGUCUUAGCAACUGUCAACAGCGUUUUUGACCCUCUUGGGUUGGCAGCACCUGUUACAAUACAAGGAAAGUUCCUUCUUCGUGACCUGACAGCAGACACCAAAGACUGGGAUGCCCCUCUACCAACAGUCAGGGAAGCUGAAUGGGAGGCUUGGAAAAACUCUUUGCAAGAUCUAGCUCAAUUUGAAAUACCCAGAGUGUACUCAAAGGUUUCGCUAUCUUCAGCUAAAAGGAAAGAAAUUCACGUUUUCUCAGAUGCUUCCACAAAGGCAAUUGCAGCAGUAGCUUACCUGAGAGUGAUGAAUGACAAUGGAUCAUGUACAGUAGGGUUUGUGAUAGGCAAGGCUAAGCUUGCUCCACUGUCUGCUCACACUGUACCUCGAUUAGAGCUUGGAGCAGCAGUCCUGGCAGUAGAAGUGGCAGAACUCAUUCAAGGUGAGAUGGAUAUUACUCCAGACGCUGUAGAAUUCUAUUCCGACAGUAAAAUAGUGUUGGGGUAUAUUCAUAACCAAACCAGACGGUUUUACGUAUACGUGAGUAAUAGAGUCCAGCGGAUUAGGAAAUCUACAAGGCCAGAACAGUGGCAUUACAUUUCCACAAGUCAAAAACCCUGCUGA